ACUAAUUAGGUCUCAUCAGCUCAACUUCUCAAAAUGAGGUUCCCUUCUCAGCUCCUGGGGCUGCUGAUGCUCUGGAUGUCAGGAUCCAGUGGGGAGGUUGUGAUGACACAGACCCCACUCUCCUUGCCCGUCACCCCUGGAGAGCCGGUCUCCAUCUCCUGCAGGGCCAGUCAGAGCCUCCAGGACAGUUAUGGAAACACAUAUUUGAGUUGGUUCCGGCAGAAGCCAGGCCAGUCUCCACAGAGCCUGAUCUACUUGGUUUCCAACCGUUUCACUGGGGUCCCAGACAGGUUCAGUGGCAGCGGGUCAGGGACGGAUUUCACCCUGAGAAUCAGCAGGGUGGAGGCUAACGAUACGGGAGUGUAUUACUGCGGGCAAAGUACACAUGAUCCGUACACGUUCGGCCAGGGGACCAAGCUGGAAAUAAAACGGAAUGAUGCCCAGCCAUCCGUCUCUUUGUUCCCACCAUCUCUGGACCAGAUACACACAGGUAGUGCCUCUGUCGUGUGCAUGCUGAAUAGCUUCUAUCCCAAAGACGUCAAAGUCCAGUGGAAAGUGGAUGGGGCUCUCCAAAACACAGGCAUCCAGGAAAGUGUCACAGAGCAGGACAGCAAGGACAGCACCUACAGCCUCAGCAGCACCCUGACGAUGCCCAGUACAGAGUACCAAAGUCAUGAGAAGUACUCCUGCGAGGUCACUCACAAAAGCCUGUCCUCCACCCUUGUCAAGAGCUUCCAAAGAAGCGAGUGUCAGAGUGUGGCCUAGCAGGCCCCCCACCUGCCCCUCAGUCCCAGGCUCCCUGACUCCCCCCGUCAGGCCUCCGGCCCUUUCCCCAUCAGAGACCCACCCCUGUUGCAGGCCCUUCUCCCCACCUUACUGCCUCCCCCUCUUUGGCUUUAAUCAUGCUAAUAAUAUUUGGGGGGAAAUGAAUAAAUAAAGUGACUCUUUGCACCUGU